UACAGAGGUGGCAAGCGUUGUUCGGAAUUACUGGGCGUAAAGGGCGAGUAGGUGGCCAUCUAAGUCAGACGUGAAAUCCCCCGGCUUAACCUGGGAACUGCGUCUGAUACUGGACGGCUAGAGUAUGGGAGAGGGAUGUAGAAUUCCAGGUGUAGCGGUGAAAUGCGUAGAUAUCUGGAGGAAUACCGGUGGCGAAGGCGGCAUCCUGGACCAUUACUGACACUGAAACGCGAAAGCUAGGGGAGCAAACGGG
rnacentral:rRNA from 1 species